CAUCUAUCGGUAAACGAGAUGGUUGCUAACAUUAAAGCUUCUCUUUAGAGGUUAUUUCAGUAGAAAACUCAAUAUCGAGUUCUUCUUGGCCUUGAUCUUUGGCUCUUGCAUGAUGUAAAUGGUGUUAGAAUGGUUUCAUCCGAUUCGAAAGGUGAGAAGAGCUCCUAGUAGAUGAAGUAGAUGCAGAAGCUUUGGCUUUGGAAUUAACUAUAGGAGAAGAGGGAUACGCAGGAGGCUUACUGGUUUUAUGGAAUUCCUGAUUAAAAUAGGAGACGGUCUUCACGGAAUUUAUUGAGGGCUCUUGCGCAAGAGAUGAUAAGCCGUGGAUUUGUAUGGGGGACGUUAAUGGCUUCUUAGCUACUGAGGAGAAGAUUGGUGGUAAUAUCUAUCCCAGGUUCUUAUCAAAUGGGUUCAGAGAAGCUAUUGAGGAGUGUUGCCUUUGUGACCUGCCUACCUUUGGUUAUAAAUUUACUUAGAGCAUGAGAUGUGAUAACUAGAUUAUUACUAGGGUACGAUUGGACAAAGCUAUGGCUACUUCAUAUUGGUCGAAGAUUUUUCAAAAUGCUUUUGUUAAAACACUAUUCUCGCCUGUUUCAGAUCAUGAUGUGAUUUCUAUCAAUACUGACGGACUACAUACUCAUACCAGUAGUCGAAAAUUUAAAUUUGACAAUGGAUGGCUUCUCAAUGAAGAAAUUGAGGAAAUGGUCAGAUCGGGUUGGAAUCGGGAACAUAGUACUGAUGUGAUUUCCAAGAAGGGCUCAUGUAUUGAUGCAUUACAAGCUUGGGGUAGAAAACAAAACAGGGAUUUCUGGGUAAGGAAACGCAGUAUAAAACGACUUCUGGAAGAUGAGCAGAACUUGGUAGGGCCUACAGAUGAGGUUAGGCGAAAGAAGAAUGGAAUCGUUUGCUUCUUAUCGAGGAUGCUCACAGACAACAGUUAGCAAGACAAUUCUGGUACAAGUACGGGGAUAAAAAUAGCAAAUAUUUUCAUUAAUAAGAUUGAAAAGUUGCAGCUUGGAGAUGGGUCAUUUGUAUCCAACACUUCUGAGAUUCAAGCAGCGUUUAUUAACUAUUUUCAGCAGUUAUUUACACAGUUAGUUUCGUUUAGUGGCCCUGUUCUACAUCUGAUCAUGCCAACGGUGUCUAGAGUGGACAAUGAGAUGCUUGUUGCCAAUAUUGGCUUUGAUGAGGUGAAACAGGUCAUUUUUCAAAUGCAUCCCGACAAGGCCCCUGGUUUGGAUGGUUUGAAUCAGGCAUUUUUUUAGAAAUUCUGGCACAUCAUUGGUCAGGAUAUUGUAUAUGGGUGCCGAUCAUGGCUCACUCGAGGUAUUUUGCUCACUAAUCUUUUUGAUACCACUAUUGUGCUCAUCCCUAAAAAUGGUAACCCAACCACUGUAACUUAUUUCAAGCCUAGAUCUUUAUGUAAUGUGCUCUAUAAGAUUUUAGCUAAAGUUUUAGCUAAUAAGCUAAAGAAAAUUCUUACAAAAGUAAUUUCUGAGAGUCAGUUUGCAUUUGUGCCUGGCAGGCUUAUUACAGAUAAUAUCCCAAUGGCUUUUGAAAUGAUCCAUAAUAUAAAAAGAAAGGUGGGUAGUGGGAUGGGGAACUUGCGCUCUCAAAUUAGACAUUAGUAAAGUCUAUGAUAGGGUUAAUUGGGAUUUUUUGUAUCACAUGAUGAUUAGGCUGGGUUUCUCAGAAAAGUGGGCCAGUUGGAUGAUGAUGUUUGUUUCUAAUGUUAAGUAGUAAGUUUUGGUAGCUGAGAAGGGGUAGGAGAUAUUCGUCCGGGUAGGGGGUUGCGUCAAGGGACUCAGCUCUCUCCUUAUUUGUUUCUUAUUUGUGCUGAGGGACUUUCUUCUUUAAUCUCUGAGGUUGAAAGGGUUGGUGAGGUGCAUGGUGCUAGGGCGGGUAGAGGGUGCCCUAGGAUUUCCCAUCUUCUUUUUGCUGAUGAUUCACUUUUCUUUUUUCAUGCUAAUAUUCUAGAAGCUAAUUGAAUGAGUCAAAUUUUAGUUGACUAUGAGAAAGCAUCAAGGCAAUCUGUCAACUUUCAAAAAUCAGGUAUUAUGUUUAGCUCUAAUGUUAGUGCUGAUGUCAGCAAUAAUAUCUUUAAUGUCUUAGGAGUGCAUAAAUCUAUAGAAAAUGGUGUUUAUCUAGGUCUUCCUUCUUUCGUGGGUAAAAAUAAAAGACAGGUGUUUAAUUUUCUUAAGGAUAGACUUUGGGCUAGGUUGAAUAGUUGGUCCAAUAAGCUCUUGUCAAAAGCGGGUAGGGAAAUUUUGUUUAAAUCAGUUGUCCAGGCUAUUCUUAUUGUAUGAGUGUUUUUAUGUUGCCUAAGAAUAUGUGUAAUGAGUUGCAAAGAUUAAUGAACAGGUUUUGGUGGAGUUUAAAAAAGAUGGUGGUCGAGAUGUCCAU